CCUGGCGGGCUGCAAAGGGAAGGCGGCUCCCAGCUGCUCGGCCUGCGCACCACGGCGCUGCUGGCCUCCCCAAGAGUUAAGCCAAGGUGGGCGCGCAGGUGCAGUCUGUGCCCAGGGACGCUGCAGGAGAAGGUGCUAUUUUGAGACUAAGGACCGUGCUGACGGUGCGCGGGGGCGUGGGGACCAGAACCGUGGUCCCACACCGAGGAAGACCCCGACUGCCCUCCAGAGACGCCGGGCAAGGGUGUGAGCGCCACAUGAGGUGGGUUUCAGGACAGACAUGAACCGGCUGGCGGCCAUGCUCCCCAUGGUCCCAGGGGAAGAAGACGUGCCCUGGGCUCUGGCCCAGCUGAUGACAAACCACAGACGUGCAGUGCAGGGUAGGUGGCUGGGUGGCGCCCACGCUGCCCAAGUGACUGCACCUCAUGCCCCACUGGCUCUUCAGUGUCCAAGCAGAUUGCCCUUUGGGAGGCCCUGUAGGAGUCAGGGAUGGCAGAGGACAUCUCUCUGCUGAGUCAGACCCUCUGUCUCCCUGCAGUGCCCUGUGCUUGCCCUCUGUGCCCUGAACCCACAGCCCUUGGGCCGCUUCCUUGUCCAGGUGACUCUUCUGCCUCCCCUCUGUUCACUCUCCCAGCUGGUGAACACAGUGACCUCUCUCUUCCUUCCCAGAGGUUCUGAGUCCCACAGGAGGAAAACAAGAGCAACUGCCCGGCAGGCCCCUGCGCCUGGUUCUUGUGUACCUGGAGGCCCGGCCUCACCAGGUUUGCCUCCCCACACUCCAGAGGUACAAAAGGACCCAGUGGAUUUCCCAGCAGCCCUGGGGGAUAGCACCUCGCCCACAGAUGACUGGAAAUGCAGAAACCACCCCAGGCCUCUCUGUGCUCCCAACCUGCUUCUCCCGACUGGGACAGCUGACGGGCCAGGCGAGCUGUGUCACUGUUGGCUCCUCUGUGCACCCUCGAGUUGACUCUGGAAGCAACAUUACGCUGGCCGCAGAGGGCGAAGUCCAGCAGAGGCUCCAGGGCCCUUCCAAACCUGAAAGACACCAUGUGAACCAAGAGAGAAGCCCGGCUUGUGCCCAUGGAGUCCACUAUUGUUGAGAUACUCUUGGAGGAGCCCUAGACCCCAAACCUCUCUCUCUGGGGGCCUCCGUGCUUCCAGGUCUGGCCUGCCUCCCCCUGACCUAGGACAGCUCAGAGGCUGCGCAACGCCCAUCAGUGUGGGCUUCCUACUAUAACCUUGUGGCACACCUGGAAGCCACAGACUGCUGGUCCCCUGAGGGCAAAAAUGAUCAGGCACUCUUCCAGGUCUGCCCUGGGACUCCUGGGACCAGGCCUCACCCGGGCUGCUGCAGGCCAGUGCUCAGGCUGAGGACAUACCCUUUAGAGGCCCAUGAGCCUCAGGCAACAGUGAACUUCAGGGGCCUGUAGGGGAAGGGAAAAGACUAGGCCCUCUGGCCCAAGUCCCUGCACAUCCUGUUAGCUGCAUUGCCUCCUCUUCCACAGAGCAGCUGGACACGUGCGGGUCAGUGGACUGGACAGUGAACUCACUUUGCUGCCAGCCGAGGGUGGCUAGUGGCCUGCCCAGCCUCUGCAUGGCAGCCCCCACACUGGACAGGGCUCCCUGUUCUUGGUAACUAAUAGCACUACGUCCGAGUAGCCUUGGCUUGUCCUGAGCUUGGACCCAGUCUCAGGCACCCCCCUGGAGCCUGGGCUUGCACUAAAAGACCAGGUUAGUGGCCUGAGGCUCUGAGAGCUUCUAAACGACCAUGGCAUGGGGGCAGCAAGAGUGGGCCUCCAGCAGCCCCUUGCUUGUUAAAGUCUAAUAAAAUGCUGGGUUAAGGACAUUGGGUCUGUUUCCCAAUGCUCCUCCUGUGAGGCCUGAGUCAGAGGCCAGGGUCAUGACCAUCCAAUAAUUCCUGAGAUAGACCUGUGCCCCACAUGGGCCGGAAGGGCCCUGGGAGGGGAGGAAGGGGGCCAUGUUAUUGGGGCAGUUGAGGACAGUCUCUGCAAAGUGUUCAUGGGAGGGUCCUUGGCCGGGCAGCAGUAUCCCUGCCCGCCUCCACCCAGAAGCCAGCACAUCUAUUUCCUGAGCCUGGGUCAGGGCACAGAGCACGCUGCUGACCACAGGCCAGGAGACAGCAGGCCAGGGGAGCCCUGGGCAUGGCAGCAGUGGCUCGUGUGGGAGGGCGCCCGCUGCCCUGGCAGUCAGGGGAGCCCAGGUGAUCCUGUGGUGUUGUAGGGGCUGCUGCUCCUCUCCAUUAUUCUGCCACCAGCAUGUCCCACAAUUACAAGUUCUAUGUAAACAUAUAGUAUGGAUAUGUGUUUAAAAUGUGCAUAAUCAAACCACAUUUGAAAGGGUAUUCAGGGAGCUUCUAGCUUAAAAUGAGGCUUUUUGUGCUUCAAAAUCUUUUCAGGAAGUGAAAAUGAGGAUAAUGGUCCCCAAAUUAGCCCUAGAGUAAGUCUACAUUCUCUUGUAUCGUGUUUGCUUAGGAUGUGGAGCAUAUGUGGAGUCUCCACGCUGACUUGUUCAGCUCAGGGCUCUGCAAGCUCCGGUAGGAAGCAGAGGCCACACUUGGUGGCCCCAGAUGCUCACAUCCCCCACAUAAAUGUUCGAUGAGUGAUUUCAGUGAAUGCCGAAAUCACAAUUUAUUAAUAACCCGCAGUCGAGCAGAGCAGUCAGGUACCCUGUGGGAUCCACCUCAGUCGGCCACGUCUCCCUCGUUUCAUAUUUAGCUACGCCGUCUUUGAAAUGCAGGAUGCGUCCCCAGCUUGGGCAUGCCUCUUCCCACAUCCUGUGCUCUUCCUUCCUAAGAAACACUCCUUAAAUAAUGAAGAAGAUGCUCCUACUGAGCUUUCUCCUCGGGAGCUCUCUGUGGGCGCUUAGAAGAUUGUCUUGCUUACUGAGGGAAGAAAUUAUUUCACAAGGGGAGUCGACAGGAGCCGGUGCCUGUAAGCACGGGGAAGUAGGCAGACCAAUGCUAAUGGCUGGGGGCAGAGCUGCAGUGGGGGGAAAGGGGAGGGAGGUUUACUGAGUGGCUUCUACAAUUGUACUUCAAAAAGUUUGUGGAAUAUUGGAGUUAAAAGAUAAUUUGGGCACAAACAUUUUUGGAAUCCAUGCAUAGUUUUUUCAUAAGAUGUAUUUUCAUGAGUUUUUUUUAAGAUGCCUUACAUGGAUGAGUUUUGAGAUUUUUUCCCCCAACAUUUAUCUUUUAAAUUCCAUAUCCACAAACAGAAGUGCCUGUGUCUGUACCUAGUGCUGGAUCUCAUUUUCAUUUUCAUAACAAUCAGGGAAGAUGGCAUUUAAAAAUCCCACUUCAAAGGCUAUGAAAAGCAGAAUUCAGAGAAGUGAAUUUGCCUAGCAUCACACAGUGAGUGACUGACUAUACCCCAAAUAUAACCAGUUCCAAAGACCCCUCCCCCUUUUCCAUUAUGCUGGGUAGAAGCAUUCCAGUAGAGUUCUUUAAUAGCCAAAUGUGUGUAAGAGCCAAAUGUUCAAGGAGUGUGUACAAAUUGGAAAAUAUUCCGAAACUCUCGAAUAUAUGCAGUGAUCAUUUGAAAAGUGUCCACUCAUGUAGAUGCAGUAAUGAAUAAAAUCUUUACAG